CCUACGGGAGGCAGCAGUAGGGAAUAUUGCUCAAUGGGGGAAACCCUGAAGCAGCAACGCCGCGUGGAGGAUGAAGGUUUUCGGAUUGUAAACUCCUUUUGUUAGAGAAGAUAAUGACGGUAUCUAACGAAUAAGUACCGGCUAACUCCGUGCCAGCAGCCGCGGUAAUACGGAGGGUGCAAGCGUUACUCGGAAUCACUGGGCGUAAAGAGCGCGUAGGCGGGAUAGCAAGUCAGAUGUGAAAUCCUAUGGCUUAACCAUAGAACUGCAGUUGAAACUGUUAUUCUAGAGUAUGGGAGAGGUAGGUGGAAUUCUUGGUGUAGGGGUAAAAUGCGUAGAGAUCAAGAGGAAUACUCAUUGCGAAGGCGACCUGCUAGAACAUAACUGACGCUGAUGCGCGAAAGCGUGGGGAGCAAACAGGAUUAGAUACCCCUGUAGUC
rnacentral:rRNA from 1 species